AUUGAACGCUGGCGGAAUGCUUUACACAUGCAAGUCGAGCGGCAGCGCGGGGGCGAACCCUGGCGGCGAGCGGCGAACGGGUGAGUAAUACAUCGGAACGUGUCCUUGAGUGGGGGAGUAGCUCGGCGAAAGCCGGAUUAAUACCGCAUAAGCUCUGAGGAGGAAAGCGGGGGACGUGGUAACGGCCUCGCGCUGUUGGAGCGGCCGAUGUCGGAUUAGCUAGUUGGUGGGGUAAAGGCCCACCAAGGCGACGAUCCGUAGCUGGUCUGAGAGGAUGAUCAGCCACACUGGAACUGAGACACGGUCCAGACUCCUACGGGAGGCAGCAGUGGGGAA
rnacentral:rRNA from 1 species